UACAGAGGGGGCAAGCGUUAUUCGGAAUUAUUGGGCGUCAAGGGCGCGUAGGCGGCUAUUCAAGUGGCGGGGGAAAUCCCUCGGCUUAACCGAGGAACUGCCUGCCAGACUGGAUGGCUUGAGUUUGGGAGAGGGAUGCGGAAUUCCAGGUGUAGCGGUGAAAUGCGUAGAUAUCUGGAGGAACACCGGUGGCGAAGGCGGCAUCCUGGACCAACACUGACACUGAGGAGCGAAAGCCAGGGGAGCAAACGGG
rnacentral:rRNA from 1 species